CAUGGUGCUGCUGAAAGAGCUGUUGCAACUGCCAGUGGAGCAUAUGUAUAAGGGUUAAUGUGCCGUGGUUAUAUCACUGACAGUCUCUGAGUAGUUAAAUUCAGUUCAGGGCUCAAGUGGAGAGACCUAAGGUUCCCUAUGUUCUGUAAAAUGCUCCCUGUUCAUGUUUGCUAACCUUUUAAUUAGAGAACGAAAUAGAGAAAGUCGUAAGAGGUAACUGUCUUGAAAUGCAAAAUGCUCAGUAGAGCUUUAUUUUAACAAGGUUCCUAUUCCCAGUCUCUUUAACUACAAAGCCCCUAUAAGGGAGUCAGCUCAUGAAUCAGUCUUCAUUAAGACGUUUAUUAAAACUGGCAGUAACUGCCCUCUAAAAAAGAAGAAAUUAGUUGUGUUGGGCAGAACAGGAUUUGUUGGGAUUUUUUUCUUCUCAUUUAAAUCCAGUUCUGUGCCCUCAAAAACAAAACAAGCAGAGCACCUGGAGUAGUGAGAUUAGAGAAGAGUACUGUCACAGUUUGUCAGCUCCUUGGUGAAGCUGGCCUGACCUUGCAGCCUUGUUGCUUAAGGAUAGAGAGCAAAAUGCGUGUAAUCAGCUGCUGAGAAACUUGGCUGACUUUAGCUGACUCUGGUCACGAGUGUGUGCCAGUAGGGUAAAUGAGACAAAUUGUCUAUCUACAGAUUUUUCUCUUAUUUUCUGACCCAUAGGACAACUUUUUGCAGGUGAUAUAGGAAGUCCUGUCUGUUUUCUAGAAUAUUCUGGGCCUCUGAAGGAAAUUGAGGAAUAGAAGGUGUGAGCCAAAAGCUUUCUUCUGUCUGUCCACCAUCACCUCAGCCCACUAUCAGAAGCAGAGCUAUUUCUUUAGCUCUCAUUCCUGACACGUUGUUGACCUUUGGUCUUGGAUGGCAGUCAAUUGUUAGACAUGUUUUCAAGGCUGCCAGUGUAUUGUCAACAGGCCUCUAGGUUAUGAGAUUUGGUUUAUACCAGAGGGCAGAAUGUGUGCAUCAACCCAACAUUAGUUUCUUCUGAGAUUGUGCCUAUAGCAACAUAUUUGUGAGUGGAAAUCAGCUGGACUACCACUGCUUUUUGGGUCAAGGCCUUUAGUAUUCCAGCUCAGUGUCAUGGCACUGAAGUAGGCUGGGCUUAGCUGCCAUGGUCUAUCUGAAAAAAAUGAUUCCACUGCUGUAUGAUCUAUGCUGCUAAGCACAAGCACAGAUAUGUGGCUGUAUUCAUACCACAUAGCCACACAGUAUCAAAGGAUGCAGAGACUUGGACUCAUUUUGUGAAAGGAUGUAUUUGUCAUGAAAAGCUAUUUUUUAUCUCAACUUCAGCUUGAUUAACUUGUCUCUGUAAUAUUCCAGCUGAAGAUCUUGACCAAGCUUAUUACAAAACUCAAAUGGAUAGACCAGUUUUAUAUCAGAAAGUAACAUUUAUCAUUUUCACUAGAGACUAGUAUUUACAUUAUUUAAAAUGUAAAAACUGUGUCUUCCCCAAGCAGACCUCUGAGGAACAUUUUCAGCUUCUUCCUAUAAGUAAGCACGUGUUCCUUCUUUGGCCCAAAAAGUGAUAAUGAAGUGAUUAAAAGGUGGUAGUUUUCUACCAGAGAAGGAUAAAAUACAGCAUUGGCAUAUAUUCCAGCCACUAAUAAAAAGCAGGGUGAAGGUUAUAAGGUCAUUUAAACAUUUGCACCAGAACACAAUAGCUCAGAAGAGUGGGAGGAUUUUCUGCCUGAUUUACUCAAACUAUGUCAGGAUGAGGAAGUGCUGUAUUUAGUAGCUCUUCUCUUUAAACUCCAGUAUAGCUAUUUCCUGGCACACUGCAUUGAUCUUCCUCUCAUCAUCUUGUAAUAAUUGUAAGGGCAGGGCCGAAUGUAAUCUCAUGUAUUCCAUGCCUUAGCUGUGACAGUAUUUUAGACAACUGUCCUCACCUUUUCAGCAAAACUACCAGUGAGGUCCUUGCAGGAAGUGUUCAUAUACUUGCGCACUUGAAUAUUCCCCUUUUGGUAGACACUGUUGGUUUUGCACUUUGUCUGUUUCAUUCCAUUAUUUGAGGAGACUUAUAAUGCUAAUUUUGCUCUGUGUGGCAGCCCCUUUUUGCUUGCCUUCAUCCAGAUAAUGAACUGUGGAAAGGCCAUUGUGCUUGAAAGCUGCUCUGUUUUUUUCCCUGGUAAUGCGAAGUAUUCUGUCUCCUAACAAGCCUUGCAUCUGUUGCUUUCUUACAUCACCUUGUUUGCACUUUACAAUGGGAUAAAUGUCCAUGUUGUCAUUCAAACUAUUAAUUAAAAUGAAGGCUAGACCUUGCAGAAUAUUCUACCAGCAGCACAUUCUUCCAACCUGACAGCAAAUCAAUUGUGCAUCAGCUUCCAUACUUGACAAAACAAAAUAAAUGUUUUCCAAAAGCGUUUUUGUGGUAGCUUCUACAAACAUACUGAUGGCUAUAGCUACUACUGUUAACUGGGAAAUCUUGAAGUUCCCUCAAAGAAACAAUAUUUACUGACCUUUUAAGGAACCUGUGAGAGGCAAUGGCUUCCCUUAAGAUGAUAGGAGAGAACAUCAGCAGUGUUUUAUUGCCAUAACUGCUGGAUAUCCACAAUAGCUGAGAUCCUUCUCCUAUCAGGAUUGUCCUCCUGGCAGAAGGUCACAGCUACAGACUCAAUUUACCUUGGUGUGGAAUGUUUGCAAAAAGAAGAAGGUCUGUAGUUGCUUUCAAAUCUAAACAGCAGUCAACUUUAUUGGACAUAUCCUGACAGCAGAACAUGGUGUCUGACAGGUCAUAUUAUAUGCCUCAGAGCUGUCAGUAUCCUUGAAC